rnacentral:rRNA from 1 species
AUUGAACGCUGGCGGCAGGCCUAACACAUGCAAGUCGAACGGUAACAGGAAGAAGCUUUCUUCUUUGCUGACGAGUGGCGGACGGGUGAGUAAUGUCUGGGAAACUGCCUGAUGGAGGGGGGUAACUACUGGAAACGGUAGCUAAUACAGCAUAACGUCGCAAGACCAAAGAGGGGGACAUUCUGGCCUCUUGCCAUCGGAUGUGCCCAGAUGGGAUUAGCUAGUAGGUGGGGUAACGGCUCACCUAGGCGACGAUCCCUAGCUGGUCUGAGAGGAUGACCAGCCACACUGGAACUGAGACACGGUCCAGACUCCUACGGGAGGCAGCAGUGGGGAAUAUUGCACAAUGGGCGCAAGCCUGAUGCAGCCAUGCCGCGUGUAUGAAGAAGGCCUUCGGGUUGUAAAGUACUUUCAGCGGGGAGGAAGGGAGUAAAGUUAAUACCUUUGCGCAUUGACGUUACCCGCAGAAGAAGCACCGGCUAACUCCGUG